GAGGGGCGGCGAGGCGAGGCGAGGCGAGGCCUGACGGGCGGGCGCGCGCGCGGUUGGGCACGUGGGGGCCUUUCGUCCCCAGCGCCCCGGUACCCCGCGCCAGCCCCCACCCAUGUCCCGGCCCUCCCGUGGUAGCGGAUGAGCAGAAAAACUGAAACCCAUCCCCUUUCGCCGCCCGAAUCGCGGUUCUAGUGACUUUUCUGGGAAGUGCAAGAAACAAGGCCAUAAAAAGAAUGGCGUCCAUUUACAUAAUGCUUUGUUUGCAUUUUGCAAGUUUCUUUCGCUUAAAGCCACAGAAACCCCACCUCCUGCCCUUGCGCUGUUUCAACCGCGGUAGCCUUGUCAGACAUUCGGAACAAUAGUGUGCAUGUGUGGAAGCCUCGUUUAUUCAGGGGGUGCUGCCCAGGGGUUUUGGGGUGUGUGCUAGCGGUUUUUCAUGGGCGGUCAACGUCCCCGUUGCUGCCUUUUGGCCCCUUCCCUUCAGUGAGGCCGCCGCGCCCCGCGCUCCGGGGGCGGCCCCGAUGGGGCCCGCCAUCUUGGAAGCUCGUUUUUGCUGAGUUCUUCUAGCUGAGGAGACAUUGCUCGAGUCGCCGUCCUACGAGUUGUGAUUUCUGCCCCAUUCCUUGCCUCCUGGGGCUAAGCCAGACCAGAAAAUGCCGUGUGCGCAGCGUGCUCAGGAUCCCUUAGAGAAAGAGGUUAACGUGGCGCUCGUCCGCCUCCCCCAUUCCUCGCGGGGGUGGCCGCCAUGUUUCCUGAACACAAAAUGGCGACACGUGGCCUGGAUUUGUCGCCAGCGAGAAAUUGGGGUCCUCCCGAAAGCUACAUAAUGCACCCCUUUUCCUUCCCCGGGCCUUCCCUGCGCUUCGAGCAUUGUGACUAAGCCUGCAUAAAAUCCCCCUGCUGGUCCGAAGCUUAGCGAGAGACUUUUAAUGCGAUUCCUUUGCUUUCAUUUGAAAUGGGACCGUGUAAAAUAUAUAGGCGCGAUAUUGAUCUUUUUGUUCUUCUAAAGUUUAAUAAUGAAGAAGGGCCGUACCCAGAGAGGAAGACAUUUAAACAGAGAUGCAGUGACUUAAUUCAAGGUCACGCAGUGUCGGGGGAUGGAAUCCAGACCUUCUGAUAUCCUUGCUGGUUUGAGUGUAGUGGCACAGUCACAGCUCAGUGCAACUUCAAACUCCUGGACUCAGACACUCUUCCUGUCUCAGCCUUCUGACUGACUGGGACUACAGAGAUGGGGCCUUGUUAUGUUGCCCAGGCUAACCUCAAACUCCUGGCCUCAAGCAGUCAUCCUGCCUCAGUUUACCAUAGUGCCGGGAUUACAGCUGGAUUGCCAAGCCGGUAGAGCAUAAGCUUCAUGCUGCUGGGGCCAUCUUGCCACUUCAAGUGGACGCAGCCUGAGAACAAGGCCAACAGAGAUGGAAGCUGAGCUGUGAGAUGGAGAGAGAUGGAGACCAGAUGACAUCUUUUGAGCACCUGGAUCUAAUCAUGCCUUUAGCUAAUCCAGCCCCUGUUCAUUUCUUUUGCAUGGGUUCAGACCUUCUCUUUUGAAAGUUUGAUUUGGAAUUCUGUCACUUGCGGCCAGAAUAGUCUUAAUAAUCAGUGCUAUAAAUUGUAUAUAGUUCUCAUUACAAAGUAUGUUAUGGCUCAGUCUUUUCUUAAUGGAUCUUUUUGUCUAAAGAUGCUGGAUUAUGGCAGCAUCUGUGGCUCAGUGAGUAGGGCGCCAGACCCAUAUGCCAAGGGUGGCGGGUUCAAACCCAGCCCCGGCCAAACUGCAACAAAAAAAUAGCCGGGCAUUGUGGCGGGUGCCUAUAGUCCCAGCUGCUCGGGAGGCUGAGGCAAGAGAAUUGCGUAAGCCCAAGAGUUAGAGGUUGCUGUGAGCCGUGUGACGCCACGACACUCUACCAAGGGCAGUACAGUGAGACUCUGUCUCUACACACACAAAAAAAAGAUGCUGGAUUAUAAAUUUGUUUAAAAAAACAAAUAAGACCAUACAUGGGGCAGCGCCUGUGGCUCAGUGAGUAGGGUGCUGGCCCCAUAUACCGAGGGUGGCGGGUUUAAACCCAGCCCAGGCCAAACUACAAUAAAAAAUAGCCGGGUGUUGUGGCGGGUGCCCGUAGGCUCAGCUACUUGGGAGGCUGAGACAAGAGAAUCAUCUUAAGCCCAAGGGCUGGAGGUUGCUGUGAGCUGUGAUGCUAUGGCACUCUACCGAGGGCAACAAAGUGAAACUCUGUAUCUAAAAAAAAACCAUACAUGUAAAGAAGCUGUCAUUAUUCUCCAUGUAGAGAAAACCCAGUAAAUAUUAACUACCAGAAGCAGGCGUGGAAGAAGGGGUAUUGAAUUAAAAGGAACUCCUGAAGUCCUAGGGUAAUCUAGGAAUCCUCAAACCUAAUCUAGUCUCUUCUAAAUGCCUCUUAGUUCCCUGUGCUUUCCCCUUAUAACCCUUCAUUAUGGUUGUGGUGGUAAUGUUUAUGUGAUAUUUUGAUUAAAGUCUAUCUCACUGACCUGGCAGGGCUUCUAGGGCAAUGAUUUUGCUCACUGUUACAUCUCUAGCACCUAGUCCAGUGUGGCAUUCAGCAUAGGUAUAGGGAAUUGAAUUGUCAUUUACAGUUAUUCUAGUUGGACUGACCCUCCUUGAUUAUUGGGGUUAGGAUUGUGACAGAGUUGGCAAAAUUAGGGAAAGUGGCCCCUAUUCCCUGUACAUCUCCUGUACUGCCUACGCUGCCAACACACGUAGAGAAUUCUGUCUCGGUGAGAUAGUUAAUUUCUGUUUGGUGAUGAACCAAACCACUAGUUCUUAUGUUUUUACUGGAUAUUUUAUUGAAGAAUUAAGUAGUGUGAUUCUGACCUAUUAUCUUUAAAAACCUUGCAGACCAGUAGGUUGGGUCUUAGUGAUUAACAAGCAGCCUACCUUGUUCCUGUAUCUUUAUAAAAUCACUUACUUAACUGGUAGUCCAUCCUCCCUCAGGCUUUUACAGACAUUUGUUGAAGGGCUGUAGGAAGGCCUGGAAUCUGACAAAGACUUCACUCCCUAGCACAAAACAAAAGCGGCACUGGGUGGCCCCAAAGGUAACUGUAAACUCACUCCUUCAUCAGUCUUGGCUGGAGCACCUUCCCUGUCCCAGCCCUGCUCUGCACUCCCAGUGCACAGCUCUCCACUCCCAGUGCACAGCUCUCCCUGGCUCCACCUCCCAGCUGAGGCUGCAGUUCAUCCCUUCCCCCAGCCUGCUUUCCCGGAGGUGGGGGAGUGUUUCCCAGGGCCCAUGUGACUUCCAGUGGCUAGUGACGAUUACCAACGGUUUACCAGUCAGUAAAACUGCCAAAGGCUUUUGUGCUGUAAUAAUCCUUUUCCUGUCUAAAACUCCAGGGAUUUUUUUACUGUUGCCAAUAGUUUUUCAAGUCAGCAAUUAACGAUGUGGAUUAUGUAAUGGCUGGGUAUUAAAAAUAGAAAAGAC